CUUACUCCUACGGGAGGCAGCAGUGAGGAAUAUUGGUCAAUGGGCGGAAGCCUGAACCAGCCAAGUAGCGUGAAGGAUUACUGCCCUACGGGUUUUAAACUUCUUUUAUGCGAGAGUAAUGUGCGCUACGUGUAGCGUAUU
rnacentral:rRNA from 1 species